GAUUCAUGCACUUGUGCUGGCGUGAGGAAUAAACAAAGGAGCCGCAUGUGAAACUCAAGACUGGAUCGGUUUCCAGGGGCUGAGUUGACGUCUAGGCAAAGACCGUGGCCACGGCACUUGAGACCGACUUUGCACCUGGAGGCUGACGGUGGACGAGAAGCCGAAGGAAGUAAAGGUAUCUCUGAGAGAGAGCUGAAGCCAAUCGCAGCUAACUUCGGGCAGCGGCAGACUACACGCCGAACUGGUCACCAGCCAGUCGCAGUGCAGAUGUCGACACCAUCACUGAGCGGGAAUCGAUCCCACGCUGCCUUCACUCGAAAUGUCCCUCUGAGGCAAACCCGAACUAUAACGUGGCCCGCAAGAGAAAUUAGUUUGACAUCCCUGCACUACACCAUCCAAAAAAAAAAGUAACAAGUUACUGUGCUUUAAUAACCUUAUUACUGCCAUUUGUUUAUUCAUCCUACUGUACAUCUACUGUACAUGCAGUUUUACCCGAACACUGGCAUAAACUGAGCAAGAGCUGAAUGACAUGGACAAAAUAGCAGAAAGAAACAUGUGGAUACACCUUACACACUGUAAAAGGUCAUCUUAGCUGAGUCAGCCAAGGGGAAAGGUGAGCAAAGACCAGCAUACGGUGGGUGCAGAUUUAUAGUAUCUGAAAAUACCUGAAGGCUGGUGAAUAUUUAAAAGACACUUGACUCAUUUAGGGGUGACUUGGUUGACAUGACUUCAAAAUGGCUAAAUAAUAUGAUAGCAUGUUGGGGUGCAACAUUGACAGCCGUAAUGAUAUUUUUUUCAUAUGCUACUUUUGGACACCUGUAAAGCUGACAAAAAUACAUAACAACGGAACCAAUAAUUAUACUCAGUCAACUAUGCCUACCACACAUAAGAUAAAGAGGCGCAACCUCAUUUCAAAUAACAUUGGUAAACAACUAUGCGGGGGUCACCGAGGCAUGAGAGGAGGACUCCAUGUGUGCCUCCCAGUGAAUCAGUUCACCACUUAUUCAAUUCCUUGGCAGAGUCUGAUUGCUGGGGAUUCCAUCUUUGGGCUUAUGCUAAAUGAAACCCCCACUUUCUUCUCACCAUUUGCCAAUUUAAUGCUACCUUAGACCCGAAUGCCAUACAAAAGAGUACGUAUACUAUGGAAGGAGUAUUUUAAACGAAAAACCCGAGGAACAUUUUUUCAUUAUGAUUAUCUUUUUUACAAAUAGGAAACAAAAGUGGCUGUUAUUAAUGUAGAAUGCAGCAAACAAGGUAAACUAUAGUUACAUCACAUCCAUGGGCCCUGGGCCACUAAUGUUUGUCAUUCCAACAGAAAUCCCAACACAAUGUACCCUGGAGGUAAUGACUAAAACAACUCCUAACACCACUUGUCAGAAAUGGAAAAGUGUUUAUCCAACAACUUAGGCAGUAAAUGAUGAAGUGAUAUUUUCUACUAAUGUUGCUUUGGCUGAUUUCUCCUGUGUUACCUUUACAGGGACAGAUUUUAAGGUGGGAAGUCUCAACAAAACAUGGUUUCAUGAUAUCCAUCCGCAAACUGCCCCAGUGCUCCCAUGCAGCGAUUUUUUGUGGUGGUGUGUUGGUCAAAAGUUGUAUGACACACUAAUAAAUGCAGCAGAAACCUGUACACUGGUAUCACUGCUCUUAUCUGUGACUGUGUUUCCAUCCAAAGCAGAGGAUAUACAAUUGACCGCAUCCAUCUUUGGACCUCCCCUUGGGUUCUCCCGAAGGCGAAAGUCCUCUUGGAAAGAUGGAGAUCUGACAUACAUUGAUGCAAAUGGCAUCCCAACUGCAAACCAGAUGAGUAUAAGUUGGUUAACGAGAUUGCUGCAGGAUGGGAAUCCAUCUUGUUAUGGAUAACUCAAUAAAAACGUUGACAGAAUCAACUACUUACAUUACAAUGUACAGAAACUAGGUAAUUAUACGGAAGCAGGCUUUAUUGCCAUAAGGGAACAACCAGCUGCAACCUCACUCAUGACAGUCCAGAACCGCAGAGCGGUCGACAUGCUCCCGGCCGAGAAGGGUGGUGACUGCUCAAUGUUCGGUGACCAGUGUUGUUUAUUCCAAAUAUCACAGCACCUGAUGGGUCACGUACAAGGGCCAUUCAAGGCCUCCGCACCCUGAACCACAAGAUGAAGGCGCACUCUGGUGUAAACACGUCAGCAGGUCUGAGUGGCGGAAAAAAAUAAAAAUAAAAAAAAAAAACUUUGGCAAAUCUAAAAAUCUGGUGUUCUCUGUCCUAGUUUCUAUCGCUGUUUGCAGCUAUUCUUGCAUUGUGUGGAUGUUGUUGUAUUCCCUGCAUAAAGGCAUCACUUAACCAACUUAUAACCACUGCUAUUGACCCGACAAAUUCAAAAUUGGCAGAAAUAUAUCCACUAUUGGCACAACAGAGUAAUGACUGAUAUUGUUGACCACGAUGAUGACGUUAUGACUUCUCUUCCAGACCUGUUCUCUGAUCCAGAAGAUUACAAAUAAUUAGUACUAUAUUUUCCUCCGAGUGUAAGGCGAAAGGGUGAACUAUUAGAUGAUUUAAAGAUUUUAUCUAAUGUAGGAUAAACAGGAGGAUAAUGUAGAAAUAAUUGUAAAUAGUAUUAAGUAACUGCUUCUGACUGCAAUGAAGAAAUGCUUUGCUCUGUUCCAAUUCAGUUACUGUUUCUGCCUGCAAUGAAGAAAUGCUUUGCUCUGCUCCAAUUCAGUUACUGUUUCUGCCUGCAAUGAAGAAAUGCUUUGCUCUGCUCCAAUUCAGUUACUGUUUCUGGCUGCAAUGAAGAAAUGCUUUGCUCUGCUCCAAUUCAGUUACUGUCUCUGCCUGCAAUGAAGAAUGCUUUGCUCUGCUCUAGAAAACGUGGUAGCAAAUGUAGGAUAAACAGGGGGGAAAUGUAGGAAUAAUUGUGAUCAUAAUUAUCAUACAUUUGCUUCCAAUAAAGAAAUGCUUUGCUCUGCCCUAGAUAACGUGGCAGCCUCCUAGCAGGAGAUAGCAAGAACAAAAACAUCUAAUCAUCAGAACUGUUAGAACUGCUGCCUGUUAAAGAAAUGAUGACCACACAUUUAUUCAGCAAUCUUCCACAC